CCAAUAGCGUAUAUUAAAGUUGUUGCAGUUAAAAAGCUCGUAGUUGAAUUUCGGGAUCUGUCUAUCGGUCGGGCUUUAUUGUCCGCACUGAUUUGAUGGAUUCUUACCUUCUGAAUAACCAUCAUGCCAUUAAGUUGGUGCGUUGGGGAAGCAGAGCUAUUACCUUGAAAAAAUUAGAGUGCUUAAAGCAGGCUAGUGCUUGAAUAGAUUAGCAUGGAAUAAUAAAAUAGGACGGCAUGGUUCUAUUUUGUUGGUUUCUAGGAUCACCGUAAUGAUUAAUAGGGAUAGUUGGGGGCAUUAGUAUUCAAUUGUCAGAGGUGAAAUUCUUGGAUUUAUUGAAGACUAACUACUGCGAAAGCAUUUGCCAAGGAUGUUUUCAUUAAUCAAGAACGAAAGUUAGGGGAUCGAAGACGAUCAGAUACCGUCGUAGUCUUAACCAUAAACUAUGCCGACUAGGGAUCGGAUGAUGUUAAUUUUUUAAUGACUCA
rnacentral:rRNA from 1 species